AACAGCAGAGGCGGGGCUACAUUUUUGAAUCCCGCUCCCCCUCCCGGAAGUGCAUUUCUUAAAGUGUUGUGUAAGGACACCGAUGAAGUUGUUUUGAUGCAAGCGAUGCUGGUAAUUUCAUCAAUGGUUAUGCAAGCACCUUUGCAACCCGCCCUGUGUCCUCAACUUGUCCAUUAACCCACAGAUCCCAGCUCUAGUUGUGAAGACGCUGCUUGCCAGUCGAGCUCUGAGUUUUUUCAGCCCACUGAACCCACCUUUGCACAUUCAGCUUGUCAAUAAACAGUUCUAAGUGUGAAUUAACCCGCCUUGUGUCCGCUCUUGGAUCCACUCAACUGCCCUAACACUAAUAACCAGAAAAAAUCUCUUGAAAUGGCAAGAACACUAAACUGCUCCACCAUUCGACGGCACUGG